rnacentral:rRNA from 1 species
GACGAACGCUGGCGGCGUGCUUAAUACAUGCAAGUCGAACGGAAAGGCCCUGCUUUUGUUGGGUGCUCGUGUGGCGCACGGGUGAGUAACACGUGAGUAACCUGCCCUUGACUUUGGGAUAACUUCAGGAAACUGGGGCUAAUACCGCAUAGGAUCUCCUGCUGCAUGGUGUGGGUUGGAAAGUUUCGGCGGUUGGGGAUGGACUCGCGGCUUAUCCGCUUGUUUGUGUGGUAGUGGCUUACCAAGGCUUUGACGGGUAGCCGGCCUGAGAGGGUGACCGGCCACAUGGGGACUGAGAGACGGCCCAGACUCCAACGGGAGGCAGCAGUGGGGAAUAUUGCACAAUGGGCGGAAGUCUGAGGCAGCAACGUCGCGUGCGGGAUGACGGCCUUCGGGUGAUAAACCGCUUUCGCCGGUGACGAAGCGUGAGUGACGGUAAUGGGUAAAGAAGCACCGGCUAACUACGUG